rnacentral:rRNA from 1 species
GAUUAACGCUAGCGGCAGGCCUAAUACAUGCAAGUCGAGGGGUAACAGGGUAGCAAUACCGCUGACGACCGGCGCACGGGUGAGUAACACGUAUGCAACCUACCUAUAACUGGGGAAUAGCCUUCCGAAAGGAAGAUUAACACCGCAUAAUAUCACGAGACGGCAUCGUUUUGUGAUCAAACCUCCGGGGGUUAUAGAUGGGCAUGCGAAACAUUAGCUAGUUGGUGAGGUAACGGCUCACCAAGGCGACGAUGUUUAGGGGGUCUGAGAGGAUGAUCCCCCA